rnacentral:rRNA from 1 species
AAUCAACGCUGGCGGCGUGCCUAACACAUGCAAGUCGAACGCGAAAGUCCCGCAAGGGAUAAGUAGAGUGGCAAACGGGUGAGUAACACGUGGGUGACCUGCCUUCGAGUGGGGGAUAACGUCCCGAAGGACGCUAAUACGCAUGACAUCCUGCCUUUGAACAGGCGGAGAUCAAAGCUGGGGAUCGCAAGACCUAGCGCUUAAAGAGGGGCCCGCGUCUGAUUAGCAGUUGGUGAGGUAACGGCUCACCAAGGCGACGAUCAGUAUCCGGCC